UUUGAUUAAUCUCGAGUCUCGGGUGGUCGUGAAUGAGGACAUUGGUCGGCAAAUUCUCACCUAUGGUUGCAGGAAACCCGCAAAGGAGUUUAUCGACACCGUUCG